rnacentral:rRNA from 1 species
ACGAACGCUGGCGGCGUGCUUAACACAUGCAAGUCGAACGGAAAGGCCCUGCUUUUGUGGGGUGCUCGAGUGGCGAACGGGUGAGUAACACGUGAGUAACCUGCCCUUGACUUUGGGAUAACUUCAUGAAACUGGGGCUAAUACCGGAUAGGAGCUCCUGCUGCAUGGUGGGGGUUGGAAAGUUUCGGCGGUUGGGGAUGGACUCGCGGCUUAUCAGCUUGUUGGUGGGGUAGUGGCUUACCAAGGCUUUGACGGGUAGCCGGCCUGAGAGGGUGACCGGCCACAUUGGGACUGAGAUACGGCCCAGACUCCUACGGGAGGCAGCAGUGGGGAAUAUUGCACAAUGGGCGGAAGCCUGAUGCAGCAAAGCCGCGUGCGGGAUGACGGCCUUCGGGUUGUAAACCGAUUUCGCCUGUGACGAAGCGUGAGUGACGGUAAUGGGUAAAGAAGCACCGGCUAACUACGUG